rnacentral:rRNA from 1 species
CAAAUCAGGUAGGAUUACCCGCUGAACUUAAGCAUAUCAAUAAGCGGAGGAAAAGAAACUAACAAGGAUUCCCCUAGUAACUGCGAGUGAAGCGGGAAAAGCUCAAAUUUGUAAUCUGGCGGUCUUGGGCCGUCCGAAUUGUAAACUAGAGAAGCGUUAUCCGCGCUGGACCGUGUACAAGUCCCCUGGAAUGGGGCGUCAUAGAGGGUGAGAAUCCCGUCUUUGACACGGACUACCAGGGCUUUGUGAUGCGCUCUCAAAGAGUCGAGUUGUUUGGGAAUGCAGCUCAAAAUGGGUGGUAAAUUCCAUCUAAAGCUAAAUAUUGGCGAGAGACCGAUAGCGAACAAGUACCGUGAGGGAAAGAUGAAAAGAACUUUGGAAAGAGAGUUAAACAGUACGUGAAAUUGCUGAAAGGGAAACGCUUGAAGUCAGUCGCGUUGGCAGGGGAUCAGCCUUACUUUUGUGGGGUGUACUUCCUUGUUGACGGGUCAGCAUCAGUUUUGGUUGCUGGAUAAAGGUUAGGGGAAUGUGGCACCCUCGGGUGUGUUAUAGCCCCUGGCUGGAUACAGUGGCUGGGACUGAGGAACUCAGCACGCGCAAGCUGUGCUUAGGAUGCUGGCAAAA